ensembl:lncRNA
GAGGUUCUCUGGCAGGGAGAGGCCAGGGUGGGGUUGCAGACCAGGGAGAGAGUUUCAAGUUCAAGUGCAAGAUUACAUGUUCCUCACCAAGAGGAAGAGCUGAGAAAAAAGUGUGGUUACUAAGCUGAGAGGUGUCAUCUGAAUGCUGCUGUAACCUUAACAGCACAUUGAUUCCGAAUGAGAGAAAAAGUGAACAAGAGAAGCCAGGGAGAAAAAUCCACCCCUCUGCUUUCUCUUCACUGCUACUCUCCUCCUCUUUCCCUCCCACUAAGAUAUUCUGUCUGAAGCCACCCCCUUCUCUCUCUCUCUCGAUCUGUCCUCUCUCCUACACAUGCACAUACUAUUAAACACCACUUUUCUUCUUUUUCUUCGUCUCUCAUCAGGUCGUCUUUUAGUGCACCGUUUUAAGAGCCUCUAGUAUUUCUGUUUCUCUGGAGAAACCAGCUCAAUGCAGCUCUCUCUCUCUCAGCUGUGUAUCACACACUGGGAUAGCCUGUUUCUCAUUGAGAGGCCCUUUUUUUACUUGUAACACACAAGUCUUGCUCUCUUUUCAGUGCAGGUUUCCCUCCCCCUCCCCUUCUUCUCUACACUUAUCCGUAAAGAAAGGAAGGAAGCGGAAGAGAGAGGUGUUUGUGAGGAGGAAUGAUGAAAAGGCAGAGAGAGAGAGAGAGAGAGCGAGAGAAGGAGGGGGUAAAAGAAGAGAGCAAGACUGAGGAGAGUGGACUGGCAGAAACGUGAAAUACGAGAGGGAGAAGAGUAAAGUAGGAGAGGAACCCGUAAGAGGAGAAACGAGGGAUGGCUGACCUGGAAGUGGGCAAAAUCGAGGGAAAGGAAGCCACCGUUCUAUUCCAACACUUGCUGAAGCUGUGAUGCAUCACCUGAGAUCUGCUCUGGUGCUCCUCAGGGACUACAGGUGUUCACUCAUACGACAUAAAGCUCAAAGGAGAACAGCUGGUCAGUGAUCAGCAGCAGAGCUCAGUCCCACCAACAUGCCUGGCAUACAGCUAACCCCUCUGACGUGACUGACAACUCUGCCCUAGCAACCGCUUGGCACGUUGCCGGGCUGCCCAGGGUUGCCAGGGAAAGUGUUCCCAUAGCAACAUGUUUAACCACUUUAUUUGCCACCUUGAAAUGUAGCGAAGGUUUUGCAAAGAGGCAGAAAGGGAUUACUGCUGAAAUUUGCCCAGGAAGAAAAUGUGUGGAAAGGUUUCAACUUAACACCUGGACAUUUUGGGAAAAUUGGAUUCCUUCCAUAUACUGUUCUAGAUCAGUGGUCGAUCAUAUGCACAGAAAGCCUUUUCUUUUCCCUUUGUUCCGGUCAAUUUGGAUCAUUUGCCAUAGCACCCCACCACCAUCAUCAACAGGCACACAGGCAUCACCCUCUCCCUCCCUUUUCCCUUCUCUCGCUCCCUCUCUUUCACACACACACACUCCCCAUCUCUUUACUUUGCAGCAAAAUGGUGCAUAAUGGGAGCAGGAAUAGGGUUGAAAAGACAAUGGAGUAAAUUAGCAAUAUUUCUUAAUGGGGGAACACUCCACAAGACCAUGAACAUCACAGAUGUAUAUUGCUUUUGUCUGGAGUCACUGCAAGAUCAAGCUGAACUAGCCUUACCUAUGUACAACAGAUAAGAAAAUUCUGUCAUCAUUUACUCACUCUCAUGUCCUUCCAAUCCUGUAUGACUUUAUUUUUUUCUGUGGAAUAUAAAAGAAGAUAUUUUGAAGAAUGUUGGUAUCCAAACAUUUUGGUUUUCACUGACAUUGGUUUCCAUUGUAUUUUUUUGUCCAUAUAGUGUAAUCAGUUGGAACUGAUUAUUGGUCACCAAUAGACCUAAGUCUGGGUACUGCCAUAUUAAAAUUUUGACAAAUGAGGCUCUGGCAGAUAGAAGUACUAUGGCAUGCUUUUAAUGGAUUGAACUGUUGUUUAACAACAUACCAAUUGUGCAGCUGCGGAAACAUAUUUACAAAAAAAAAAAAAAAAAAAAAAAAAAAAAUUCAGUAGACAAAAACCCCUUAAAACAGUUUUUAAAGUUGUGAGUUGGUAACAAUUAUGUUAUCUAUGACCUAUAGUGCCUACAAUUGUAUAAGUCUUUCCCGACCUCACAAUAAUUAUGAUUUCAUCUAAAUUCAGUGUGACAUCUAACCUGACUAUGUUCUUUCAAAUAUCUCCUUUUAUGUUCCACGUAAAAAAGAAAGUAAUGCAGGUUUGGAAAGAGGGUGAGUGAAUGAGUUUUAAUUUUUUGGGAGGACUAUCCCUUUAAGAAUCCUACACGAGCCUACAAUGAACUAGAGAAAUGUUGAGUUUUGUUAUUUGUUUAUAAAUGUUGAUAUGUUAAUUGUAACACAAUAAAUCACUACCAUUAUGUUUACUGCCA